rnacentral:lncRNA from 1 species
GGCCGGGUCACGCCACACAUUUUUUAAACUAGAUACUCCAAUGAUGAUUGUGGCCAAGUUUGGAUUAAUUUGUCACAGUAGUUUCAGAGGAGAAGAUUUUUGUAAAAGAUAACUAAGAUUUACGAAAAAUGGUUAAAAAUUGACUAAAAAGGGCAAUAACUCCUAAAGUGGUCAACUGACCAUUUUGGUCAUGUUGACUUAUUUGUAGAUCUUACUUUGCUGAACAUUAUUGCUGUUUACAGUUUAUCUCUAUCUAUAAUAAUAUUCAAGAUAAUAACCAAAAACAGCAAAAUUUCCUUAAAAUUAUCAAUUCAGGGGCAGCAACCCAACAACGGGUUGUCCGAUUCAUCUGAAAAUUUCAGGGCAGAUAGAUCUUGACCUGAUAAACAAUUUUACCCCAUGUCAGAUUUGCUCUAAAUGCUUUGGUUUUUGAGUUAUAACCCAAAAACUGCAUUUUACCCCUAUGUUCUAUUUUUAGCCAUGGCGGCCAUCUUGGUUGGUUUGCUGGGUCACGCCACACAUUUUUUAAACUAGUUACCCCAAUGAUGAUUGUGGCCAAGUUUGGUGUAAUUUGGCCCAGUAGUUUCAGAGGAGAAGAUUUUUGUAAAAGUUAACGACGACGGACGACGACGACGGACGACCGACGACGACGGACGACGACGGACGACGGACGCCGGACGCAAAGUGAUGGGAAAAGCUCACUUGGCCCUUCGGGCCAGGUGAGCUAAAAAUAGC